rnacentral:rRNA from 1 species
GUGGGGAAUAUUGCACAAUGGGGGAAACCCUGAUGCAGCAACGCCGCGUGAGUGAUGAAGGUCUUCGGAUUGUAAAACUCUGUCUUUGGGGACGAUAAUGACGGUACCCAAGGAGGAAGCCACGGCUAACUACGUGCCAGCAGCCGCGGUAAUACGUAGGUGGCAAGCGUUGUCCGGAUUUACUGGGCGUAAAGGGAGCGUAGGCGGAUUUUUAAGUGGGAUGUGAAAUACCCGGGCUUAACCUGGGUGCUGCAUUCCAAACUGGAAGUCUAGAGUACAGGAGGGGAAAGUGGAAUUCCUAGUGUAGCGGUGAAAUGCGUAGAGAUUAGGAAGAACACCGGUGGCGAAGGCGACUUUCUGGACUGUAACUGACGCUGAGGCUCGAAAGCGUGGGGAGCAAACAGG